CCUACGGGGGGCUGCAGUGGGGAAUAUUGGACAAUGGGCGAAAGCCUGAUCCAGCCAUGCCGCGUGUGUGAAGAAGGCCUUCGGGUUGUAAAGCACUUUCAGUGGGGAAGAAAGCCUUGGGGCUAAUACCCUCGAGGAAGGACAUCACCCACAGAAGAAGCACCGGCUAACUCCGUGCCAGCAGCCGCGGUAAUACGGAGGGUGCGAGCGUUAAUCGGAAUUACUGGGCGUAAAGCGCGCGUAGGCGGUCUGAUAAGCCGGUUGUGAAAGCCCCGGGCUCAACCUGGGAACGGCAUCCGGAACUGUCAGGCUAGAGUGCAGGAGAGGUAGGUAGAAUUCCCGGUGUAGCGGUGAAAUGCGUAGAGAUCGGGAGGAAUACCAGUGGCGAAGGCAGCCUUCUGGACUGACACUGACGCUGAGGUGCGAAAGCGUGGGUAGCAAACAGGAUUAGAUACCCCAGUAGUC
rnacentral:rRNA from 1 species